rnacentral:rRNA from 1 species
AUUAGAUACCCUGGUAGUCCACGCCGUAAACGAUGUCGAUUUGGAGGUUGUGCCCUUGAGGCGUGGCUUCCGGAGCUAACGCGUUAAAUCGACCGCCUGGGGAGUACGGCCGCAAGGUUAAAACUCAAAUGAAUUGACGGGGGCCCGCACAAGCGGUGGAGCAUGUGGUUUAAUUCGAUGCAACGCGAAGAACCUUACCUGGUCUUGACAUCCACAGAACUUUCCAGAGAUGCAUUGGUGCCUUCGGGAACUGUGAGACAGGUGCUGCAUGGCUGUCGUCAGCUCGUGUUGUGAAAUGUUGGGUUAAGUCCCGCAACGAGCGCAACCCUUAUCCUUUGUUGCCAGCGGUUAGGCCGGGAACUCAAAGGGAGACUGCCAGUGAUAAACUGGAGGAAGGUGGGGGAUGACGUCAAGUCAUCAUGGCCCUUACGACCAGGGCUACACACGUGCUACAAUGGCAUAUACAAAGAGAAGCGACCUCGCGAGAGCAAGCGGACCUCAUAAAGUAUGUCGUAGUCCGGAUUUGGAGUCUG